rnacentral:rRNA from 1 species
UACGGAGGGAGCUAGCGUUAUUCGGAAUUACUGGGCGCAAAGCGCACGUAGGCGGCUUUGUAAGUAAGAGGUGAAAGCCUGGAGCUCAACUCCAGUAUAGCCUUUUAGACUGCAUCGCUUGAAUCAUGGAGAGGUGAGUGGAAUUCCGAGUGUAGAGGUGAAAUUCGUAGAUAUUCGGAAGAACACCAGUGGCGAAGGCGGCUCACUGGACAUGUAUUGACGCUGAGGUGCGAAAGCGUGGGGAGCAAACAGG